AUACUUACCUGGAUGGGGUCAAUGGGUGAUCAAGAAGGCCUAUGGCCUAGGUUGGUGAUUUCUAUUGCACUUAGGAAGGGUGCCUGCCUAAGGUCUCCUCAAGUAGGAGAGCCUACAUCAUAAUUUGUGGUAGUGGGGAGUUGCGUUCGCGCAGUCCCUAU